UACGAAGGGGGCUAGCGUUGUUCGGAUUUACUGGGCGUAAAGCGCACGUAGGCGGAUCGUUAAGUCGGGGGUGAAAUCCUGGAGCUCAACUCCAGAACUGCCUUCGAUACUGGCGAUCUUGAGUCCGGAAGAGGUGAGUGGAACUCCUAGUGUAGAGGUGGAAUUCGUAGAUAUCGGGAGGAACACCAGUGGCGAAGGCGGCGACCUGGGCCAAUAUUGACGCUGAGGUGCGAAAGCGUGGGGAGCAAACAGG
rnacentral:rRNA from 1 species